rnacentral:rRNA from 1 species
AACGAACGUUAACGGCGCGCUUAACACAUGCAAGUCGUGCGAGAAAGGGGCAACCCCGGUAAAGCGGCGCACGGGUGAGGAACACGUAGGUAAUUUACCCCCAGGUGGUGGAUAACCCUCCGAAAGGAGAGCUAAUACAGCAUGAGACCACGGGCCCGAAAGGGACUGAGGUCAAAGCCGGCCUCUUCAGGAAAGCUGGCGCCAGGGGAUGAGCCUGCGGCCCAUCAGCUAGUUGGUAGGGUAAUGGCCUACCAAGGCGAAGACGGGUAGCUGGUCUGAGAGGAUGAUCAGCCACACUGGAACUGAGACACGGUCCAGACUCCUACGGGAGGCAGCAGUGGGGAAUCUUGCGCAAUGGGCGAAAGCCUGACGCAGCGACGCCGCGUGAGUGAUGAAGGCCUUCGGGUUGUAAAGCUCUGUGGAGAGGGACGAAUAAGUGUUGGCUAACAUCCAGCAUGAUGACGGUACCUCUUUAGCAAGCACCGGCUAACUCUGUGCCAGCCGCCGCGGUAACAC